rnacentral:rRNA from 1 species
GACAGAGGGUGCAAACGUUGUUCGGAAUUACUGGGCGUAAAGCGUGUGUAGGCGGCUAUGUAAGUCGGAUGUGAAAGCCCCCGGCUCAACUGGGGAGGGUCACUCGAUACUGAUCGACUUGAAGGCAGGAGAGGGAAGCGGAAUUCCCGGUGUAGUGGUGAAAUGCGUAGAUAUCGGGAGGAACACCAGUGGCGAAGGCGGCUUCCUGGCCUGUUCUUGACGCUGAGGCGCGAAAGCUAGGGGAGCAAACGGG